rnacentral:tRNA from 1 species
GCUUUUGUAGCUCAGUUGGUUAGAGCGUCCGCUUAGUAAACAAAGGUUUUGAGUUUGACUCUUAAUAAGAGCA